CAGUAGCGGCGAGCGAACGGGGAGGAGCCCAGAGCCUGAAUCAGUGUGUGUGUUAGUGGAAGCGUCUGGAAAGGCGCGCGAUACAGGGUGACAGCCCCGUACACAAAAAUGCACAUGCUGUGAGCUCGAUGAGUAGGGCGGGACACGUGGUAUCCUGUCUGAAUAUGGGGGGACCAUCCUCCAAGGCUAAAUACUCCUGACUGACCGAUAGUGAACCAGUACCGUGAGGGAAAGGCGAAAAGAACCCCGGCGAGGGGAGUGAAAAAGAACCUGAAACCGU
rnacentral:rRNA from 1 species